rnacentral:rRNA from 1 species
AGGCCUAACACAUGCAAGCCGAGCGGUAGAGAUCUUUCGGGAUCUUGAGAGCGGCGUACGGGUGCGGAACACGUGUGCAACCUGCCUUUAUCUGGGGGAUAGCCUUUCGAAAGGAAGAUUAAUACCCCAUAAUAUGUUGGAUGGCAUCAUUCGACAUUGAAAACUCCGGUGGAUAGAGAUGGGCACGCGCAAGAUUAGAUAGUUGGUGAGGUAACGGCUCACCAAGUCUGCGAUCUUUAGGGGGCCUGAGAGGGUGAUCCCCCACACUGGUACUGAGACACGGACCAGACUCCUACGGGAGGCAGCAGUGAGGAAUAUUGGACAAUGGGUGAGAGCCUGAUCCAGCCAUCCCGCGUGAAGGACGACGGCCCUAUGGGUUGUAAACUUCUUUUGUAUAGGGAUAAACCUACUCUCGUGAGAGUAG